CCCACACCAAAGCCAUAGAGGUCACGACACCAGCCUUGCCGCCGCCGUCGCCGCCACCAGCAAGCACGGCCCAAGCAGACACACAAAGGAGAAGGCGAAUGAACCCAGGGCACUCUACCCCAGCUCUAAGGAAGGGAAUUCUCACACCUGGUAUAGAUGGACCUUGAGAAAAUUUUGCAAGUGAAAUAAGCCAGACACAAAAGGACAAUUGCCGUGAGCUUCCAGGACUGUUGGAUGCCACCUCCUCCAGGAAGCCUGCCCUGACCACCCCCAAGAACUGAGUUAGGGGCCUCUCUGUGCCCGCCCCCACAACUGGAUUGUCAUUGCCCUGAGGACAGGGGCAGGCCAGGCACACGGCUUCGGCUCAGAGAGGGCAGGUUGAAGGAAUGAGAGAAUGAAUGAAGAAUGGAUGUCUUCGCCCUCCUUGCCAGGGCCUUGGCUGAGUGGGGCGGUCAGCUUGGAGCGCAUGAGUGAGUGGCCAAGGACGCAGGCCCGGGAGCCACAUGACUUGUUUCAAAGCCAGCCCCUGCCCUGCCGACUCUCCUUAGGAAAGUGACUG